GUCUUGCUCCUUAUGUAGGAGUUUACUAGGGCUGCACCUGGGAUUGGCUUUCUCUGCCAGGCCUUUUCUAUUAUCUAAUUCAGCUGUAAGGAAAUUUAGAGGAAGAGUCAUUAAAGAAGUAUUUUUAAAAUGGAAAAAUAGUGGAUAUAGAUAUUUCAUUCUGAAGGCCAUUCAUGUUAAAAAAUGAUACUCUCUUGGACAAAGGAGACAAUGAUGGAGUGAAAUGCUCUUAUGUGAAAGGUAUGUAGAAGAUAAAAUUGACAGGACUUAGUGAUAAAUCAAAUGUGAAGAGUGAAGGAGAAGGCUAUAUCUAGGAUUAUACCAGGCUUUUGGAUUUUAAACUGGGCAAAUAAUAGAGCCUA
rnacentral:lncRNA from 10 species